rnacentral:misc_RNA from 1 species
AACCUUAUGGACCUGCGGGCGUAUACCUGCGGAAGGAUCAUUAACACGUAUCCAAACGUACAAACCCACAAUAUACGAACCAUAACCCGCGACGUACCUAGUGUUUGAACCGCUCACCACGUGUGAAGUUCUGCAGCCCUUUGUUGGAAACGGCACUGCCUGGCUGGAUCGCCCUCUUCCCGAGGACGACGCAUUGUACGCAUCGCCCCUUUUUUCCACAUCAACCCUUUUCUGGUUUGA